AUAAGGCUCUGGCGACGGUCAAACGUUUCAAAACUAUAUUUAGUUAAAAUUACAGAGCAUGACAGCAAUGCAGGAGAAAUAAAUGAUUCGUUUCUCACUUAAUUACCGCUUAUUAACAUUAUUUCGGUUGCCGAUGUUUAUAAGAAUCGAAAAAAUCCAGUGAAAUCGACCCUUGUGUCCUUCCGCCGAGUACCCACGAUAGCUUCCGAGACGGUCAAGAGGAAAAAUCCUCUUGUGACGUCACAAGAGGACAGGAAGUGUCUGUGGUCAUUGCUAGGAUAGUGAUCGGUGUGUUUCGUUAGUUGGAUUUGUGAUCUCCAAAAUCAUUAACAAUCAAGAUUGCCAUGAGUAAUGUUCAAUUUUACCAAUUUCAACCACUUUUAUCAACUCACAAUCGACUGCACAUCCUCGGCGGAGGAGGAAAAUGUUGCAGCAGUCGAAGCACAAAGCAGUUUCAGACUGGUGCAUUUGUGAGGAAUGGCCACAACAAAAAGAUGAAGAAAGAAAAUCUUGCCUUAUUAUGCACAAAUUAAAAAUAAUGUAGAGGAGGACCAGACGUGCAUUACCAGCCAUGAAG